rnacentral:rRNA from 1 species
AUUGAACGCUGGCGGCAGGCCUAACACAUGCAAGUCGAACGAGCGGCGGACGGGUGAGUAAUGUAUGGGGACUGCCCGAUAGAGGGGGAUAACUACUGGAAAAGGUGGCUAAUACCCCAUACUGUCGGAUAACCCAUAUGGGAUUAGCUAGUAGGUAAGGUAAUGGCUUACCUAGGCGACGAUCCCUAGCUGGUCUGAGAGGAUGAUCAGCCACACUGGGACGGGGACACGGCCCAGACUCCUACGGAGGCAGCAGUGGGGAAUAUGGCACAAUGGGCGCAAGCCUGAUGCAGCCAGGCCGCGUGUAUGAAGAAGGCCCUAGGGUUGGAAAGUACUUUCAGUCGGGAGGCGUUACCGACAGAAGAAGCACCGGCUAACUCCGUGCCAGCCGCCGCGGUAAUAC